rnacentral:lncRNA from 1 species
AGUAGCUUUGGAGUCAUAAUGGCACUAUUUCAAGUCUUUUCCGGCCUUUAAGAGGGGCGCAGCCCUUGGGGCUUUGUCCUUUUAAUUUUCCAGAGCUGCUGCUUUCUUUUUUAAAAUGGUUUUGACAACAUGUGUAAAUAUCUUGUCGCAAAACUCAAUUAGACAAUGCAUAUAAGGCCCAUAUCACACUCUGCAGCUUGCUAGAUAAAUGUCGGUUAUCAUUACCAAAAACAACCCAAACAAUCAAUGUUUUACUUUAAGGGAUGUUAUGUGUGGCUCAGAGUUCCCCAUAUUGGUAUACAACUUUAAUUAGUGGACAUAGCCCAGAGUCCAAGAUGAGUCUCUGAACUGGCUUAUACUGAAUGGAAGUUACCCCUUCAGAACUAGUAGGAAUGAAUUGCCGGGUUUCUGACUUCCUUAAAUAACUGUCUGCUGCUUUACAAGUCUCUUGCAUCACGUACUUGCAGAUAUACAGGGUGAGUAGGCUGACAUAACAAAGUAUACAUUACAACACAAGGAAACAACGUGAUCAUCCAAAAGGGAUUGAAGUACAAAUUGAGCAGCGGUUCAUUUUCAUAAUUACUAACAGUCUACUCUUUUCAUUAUCUAGGUAUCAGCAAGACUUUUGAUCUUUUCAAAAAGUUUGUCAGUGAUCAAGAAGUGAAAGCGGGAGAGGUUGGAAAAAUACUGUUAAAUUGACAAUUAUAUCUUCUGUUUUAUAUUGGUCUUCAUGAUUGCAUAUGUUAGAGAAAUAGACAUGUUUCUUCCCAUACUAGUACAAUAUCAUUAUACAAUAAUUUCCAAGAUUUUAGCUAGUCAGCUGGUUUCUUCAAGCAGGAACAAGGAAGUCCUGAGGGCCAGAAAGAAAAAGUUGUGACCCCAACAGGAACUGGAUUCCACUAAACAGGAUAAUGAUGGGAUCAGACAUGUGAGUUCUUUUAUUUAUUUAUUUUUAUGUAGACUAUUUUUCCAUGAUUCCAUGUUUUCUGAUUUCUUCCCACUCCUCUUUCCUCCCCCCUCUCAGAGUUGACAAGUAGUUCUACUUGGUUAUAUAUGUGUCAUGGUUCAAAACCUAUUUACAUAUUAGUCAUAUUUGCAGUAGAGUGAUCUUUUAACUCCAAUACCCUAAUCAUAUUCCAUUGAACCAGGCGAUCAAUCAUAUGUUUCCAUUCUUCCUUUCUGCUCCCACAGUUCUUUCUCUGGAUGUUCGUUCUUUCUUAUAAAUUCUUCUCGAUUGUCCUGGAUCAUUGCAUCGCUGCUAGUAGAAAAGUCUAUUCCUUCGAUUGUGUGACCAUGAUUCAGUCUCUGUGUAAAAAGCUCUCCUAGAUCUGCUCCUCUCACUCUGUAUCAAUUCCUGGAGGUUUUUCCAGUUCACAUAAAAACCUUACAUUUCAUCAUUCCUUUCAG